GAGUUUGAUCAUGGCUCAGAACGUACGCUGGCGGCACGCCUAACACAUGCAAGUCGAACGAAGUAGCAAUACUUAGUGGCAGACGGGUGAGUAACAUGUAGGUAUCUGCCCUUUGGCCUGGAAUAACACGAGGAAACUUGUGCUAAUACCGGAUAAGUCUUUACGGAGAAAGCUUUAUGCACCAUUGGAUGAGCCUGCACUUGAUUAGUUCGUUGGUGGGGUAAUGGCCUACCAAGACUGUGAUCAAUAGCUGAUUUGAGAGGAUGAUCAGCCACAUUGGGACUGAGACACGGCCCAAACUCCUACGGGAGGCAGCAGUGGGGAAUCUUGCACAAUGGAGGAAACUCUGAUGCAGCGAUGCCGCGUGAGUGAAGAAGGCCCUUGGGUUGUAAAGCUCUUUCGUCGGGGAAGAAAAUGACUGUACCCGAAUAAGAAGGUCCGGCUAACUUCGUGCCAGCAGCCGCGGUAAUACGAAGGGACCUAGCGUAGUUCGGAAUUACUGGGCUUAAAGAGUUCGUAGGUGGUUGAAAAAGUUAGUGGUGAAAUCCCAGAGCUUAACUCUGGAACUGCCAUUAAAACUUUUCAGCUAGAGUAUGAUAGAGGAAAGCAGAAUUUCUAGUGUAGAGGUGAAAUUCGUAGAUAUUAGAAAGAAUACCAAUUGCGAAGGCAGCUUUCUGGAUCAUUACUGACACUGAGGAACGAAAGCAUGGGUAGCGAAGAGGAUUAGAUACCCUCGUAGUCCAUGCCGUAAACGAUGUGUGUUAGACGUUGGAAAUUUAUUUUCAGUGUCGCAGGGAAACCGAUAAACACACCGCCUGGGGAGUACGACCGCAAGGUUAAAACUCAAAUGAAUUGACGGGGACCCGCACAAGUAGUGGAGCAUGUGGUUUAAUUCGAAGAUACGCGCAGAACCUUACCAACACUUGACAUGUUCGUCGCGACUCUAAGAGAUUAGAGUUUUCGGUUCGGCCGGACGAAACACAGGUGCUGCAUGGCUGUCGUCAGCUCGUGUCGUGAGAUGUUGGGUUAAGUCCCGCAACGAGCGCAACCCUCACUUUUAGUUGCCAUCAUUAAGUUGGGCACUCUGAAAGAACUGCCAGUGAUAAGCUGGAGGAAGGUGGGGAUGACGUCAAGUCCUCAUGGCCCUUACGUGUUGGGCUACACACGUGCUACAAUGGUAUCUACAACAGGAAGCAAGACUGCGAAGUUAAGCAAAUCCCUAAAAGAUACCUCAGUUCGGAUUGCACUCUGCAACUCGAGUGCAUGAAGCUGGAAUUACUAGUAAUCGUGGAUCAGCGUGCCACGGUGAAUGCGUUCCCGGGUCUUGUACACACCGCCCGUCACACCAUGGGAGUUGGUUCUACCUUAAGGCAAGGUUUCAAACCCUUGACCACGGUAUAGUCAGCGACUGGGGUGAAGUCGUAACAAGGUAACC
rnacentral:rRNA from 1 species